rnacentral:rRNA from 1 species
CCCUUAGAUGUUCUGGGCCGCACGCGCGCUACACUGAUGCAUUCAACGAGUUUCUUCCUGGUCCGAGAGGAAUGGGUAACCUUUUGAAAGUGCAUCGUGAUAGGGAUAGACUAUUGCAAUUAUUGGUCUUCAACGAGGAAUUCCUAGUAGACGUAGUUCAUCAGACUGCAUCGAUUACGUCCCUGCCCUUUGUACACACCGCCCGUCGCUACUACCGAUUGAAUGAUUUAGUGAGUACCAGGGACCGAGCGCUUUGGUUGGGUUUCCUUCCCUAGCGCUUGGGAACUGUCGCAAACUUGACCAUUUAGAGGAAGUAAAAGUCGUAACA